AUGCUACUCCCUCCAUCCCAAAAUUCUUGUCUUAGAUUUGUCGAAUUGAUACAUUUGUAUUUAGACAAAUCUAAGACAAGUAUUUUGGGACGGAGGAAGUAUUAG
rfam:Triticum aestivum genome assembly, contig: Triticum_aestivum_CS42_TGACv1_scaffold_513191_6BS